UAGGAAGUCCAUAAUACAGAAACAUCAAAAAAGGUAUACUGCGUUUUUUAGGAAAGAGAAUAUGGAAAUUUUUACAGUAUUUUGUAUAUGAUGAUUCCUUAUUAUACUAUACUCCUAAAAAUGAUUUAUUCAAAUCUGAAGUAACUAAAUCAUUUUGUGACUAUAAACUUGAAACAUUAAAUACCUACUACAACAUAAUAAUAACUGUUAAGCAUGUGUCAAUAUUGAAUGUAGAAAGAAGGGACACAAAAGGACAGCAGCAUGUCGCAAGGCUCCUCUCUCUGCAAACCUAUAAAGACAUCUAAGGGCUUACUGUAUUGUAGUAUUCUAGUCAAUAUUGAACUACAAUUCCGCUGAGAUCUUCCAUAUGAUUUAUCUAUCGGUCUUGAAAACAAUUCACCAACUCCUCAGUGUUAUAUUUCAUAAAAACCACCAACCCAUAGAGACAAUUUAAGUAACUUAUUGAAUAUUGAAUUUAUCCUAGUCUAUAAUACAGAAAGCCUGCAUCCAAUCUUCUAUAAACCCUCUGGAUGGAACAUACUGAGAAUUAAGUAACAAGCAACCAACCCCUAUAUAUAAAAGCAUGUAGAUUGAGUCAACCCUUGAUUAAUUACUACUUCUACGGCAUCAAUUUGCAAUUCCCCUUUCCUUGCCUUGUGAGUAUCUCUCUCUAUAAACACUCUGGUUUCUUAUAUGCCUUGAUAAAUGUGUGUAGAAUUUGGAGCAAAGUUUAAAGGACAAAAAGUAACACAUUCUAGACUACUACUUUGUUUAUAGUUUUAGCUAACAUUAUGGAGUAGUAUUCUUCAAAAUUUACUAGUAUAAAGCUUAGUGAUCGAUCGAUCAUAUAGUUUAUGAAAAGCUUCAAACAAAUAAUGUGAUCCUUUAUGGGUUGUUUAGCAAUUCAAUUUUGCAGUUACUAAUUUUUAAUUAUUAUCUAGAAAAUUGUGUGCUUUGCUUCUGAAAAAGGUUGAAGAAUUUUAUUGAGCACAACUUGUUGUAUUCUUGUGAGUAUUUUCAGUUGAAUUUUCAUGCAAUGGAGCAGGGCAAGUACUCGUUUACAAAUUUAAGGUUGAUGGAAUGGACUUACCAAUCGAUGCAGUAAUACCUGAAUAUCUAUCUCCUCUUUCUUUCUUUUCAUAUUUUAUGUUUGCUUAUUGAUACGAUACUCCUAAUUAUUAUGUUUUCA
rnacentral:lncRNA from 1 species